rnacentral:lncRNA from 1 species
CAUAAAGGGAGGGAUCAUUUGUACAUAAUAGUCUUGGAGAUUGAUGAGAACCAUUGAACUUUUUAAUUUUUUUUAUUAGAAAAUAAAUCUUUGUUCAGAAUCGGACUCUUUCAGGAUUUCCCACUGUGGCUCAGCAGUAAUGAAUCUGACUAGUAUCCUUGAGAACCAUGCAGGUAGAGAGAGAGAGAGAAUUGGAUUCUUUCAAAUACUCUUACAUAUUUCAGUUUGUUUUUUUAAUGGUCGCACCGAGGAUAGAUGGAUGUUCCUGGACCAGGGGCUGAAUCUUAAGUCAUAGCCACAGCUGCAGCAGCACCAGAUCCUUUAACCCCCUGCUGGGUCAGGGAUUGAACCCUUGUCUCCUCAUCAACCCAAGCUGCUGCAGUCAGAUUCUAGACCCACUGCACCACAGUGAAACUCCCUUCAGUGAUUUUUUUUUUUUUUUUUUUUGUCUUUUGUCUCUCUUUUUUGUUGUUGUUGUUGCUAUUUCUUGGGCCGCCCCCGCGGCAUAUGGAGGUUCCCAGGCUAGGGGCUGAAUCGGAGCCAUAGCCACCGGCCUACACCAGAGCCACAGCAACGCGGGAUCCAAGCCGCGUCUGCAACCUACACCACAGCUCACCGCAACGCCGGAUCGUUAACCCACUGAGCAAGGGCAGGGACCGAACCCGCAAUCUCAUGGUUCCUAGUCAGAUUCGUUAACCACUGCGCCACGAUGGGAACUCCUUCAGUGAUAUUUUUGAAAGACCACAACUGUAUUUAUGCAAUAUUAGGCUUUUGAAGUGCUUACUAAAGUACUGGAAAUGUAAUGCUCCUAGUUACUAUUAUCUUUGCUAUUAGAAAAGAAAUUAUUUCCGGUGUAGAAUUUGAAGAAUGUUAAGAGCAGGACCAUGUUAUGGCAUUCAUGAGCCCUAGGCAAUUUUGCCUUUCUGGGCCACUUAAAUUUUUUUCUGCGUUUGUAUAAAAACAAAUACUAUUUGAAUGAGGACUCAAUUUUUUUUUUCUGAUUUUAAAAUAAAACGUUUUCACUGGCCUAGUAAAAAGUGUAACAUGUUUGAGCUAUUAUUGACGUUUCUCAUUUUGGCACCUCCUAUUUAACUUUUUAGCAAUCAGGGUGCCAAUACCUGUUUCUAGUUAACUUGGCCCAACACCACAGACUAUCUGUUUCAUUGCUCCUGUUUUUUCCCUACAGUCUCCCAUUCUCUUUACGUACUGGUUAUAAUACUAGAGUGCAGUUGUCUUUAGUCGGAUUUUGUUGAGUGACUCUGUUUUACCUAACAAGCUUUAAAACUUUUUAAAAUCUUUAAAAUAUAUUUUUUAAAGAGUUUGCAGGCUAGG